rnacentral:lncRNA from 1 species
AGAAAGGAGGAGAGUGAGAGGUGAAUCCGAGCGGGACGGACGCUCCCAAAAGGGAACUGCGGAGGAGAAAGGGAUCCCACACCCUGGAAAGUCACCUACACGGGGGAAAGAUCAAAUGAACCGGAGGAAUCUCCAGAUGCAGAGAAGAUUGAUCUCUUAAAAUUUAUUUUCCAGACACACUGUCCCACCUGGAUAGACUGCCGGCAACUCCUUUUUACUCUGACACUGAAGAGCGCUGGAAAAUUGUAACAGAAGCCCAAAAAUGGCUUCAGGCCAAGGUGGGGGGUUGAGCAGACUUGGCAAACUGGGUAAGGGACGCCUUCCCAGAAGAAAACCCCCACUGGGACUAUGACACUGAAGAAGGGAAACAUAACCUACAGAGGUACCGGCAGGCCUUCCUGCAGGGGGCAAAAGCUGGGGCUAAAAGGCCUACUAAUAUAGCUAAGACCAGUGAGAUACCACAAGAGCCGAAUGAAAGCCCAAAUUCUAUGAGAGACUAUGUGAGGCUUUCCGAAUCUACACCCCUUUUGAUCCCGAGGCCCCUGAGAACCAACGGAUGAUAAAUGCUGCCUUUGUGGGACAAGCCCAAUCAGAUAUGUGUAAAAAGCUACAGAAAUUAGAAGGAAGACAGGAUUAAGAUGGCGGAAAAGAAGGACUGGAGCUCAAUUUCUCUCCUAAAAACAACAAAAUUCACAACUAAAGGCUGAGCACUCUCCACCCACAUGGAUUGGAAACCUUAAAAAAAAUACCCUACUCCAGAAGAAAAAGAGGAGGCCACAUCAAGAGGUAGGAGGGGUGAUUUCGCGAUAUAAACAACCCCAUGCCUCCUGGGUAGGAAGCUCCAUAGACUGGAAACUAACUGGUUCACAGAGACUCACCUACAGGAGGGAGAGGUCUGAGCCCCACAUCAAACCCUCACGUGUGGGGAUCCGGCACUGAGAGAAAGAGCCCCAGAGCAUCUGGCAUUGAAGGCCAGUGGGGCUUGUGCACAGGAGCUCCACAGGACUGGGGGAAAUGGAGACCCCAUUCUUAAAAGGCGCACACAGACUUUCACGUGCACUGAGUCCCAGGGCAGAGCAAGGUCUCCACAGGAACCUGGAUCAAAUCUGACUACAGUUCUUGCAGGACAUCCUGGGAAAACAGGGGUGACUGUGGCUUGUUGUGAGGGAAGGACACUGAAGGCAAAGCUCUCGGGAAUAUUCAGCAGCUGCCAUUCUCUGGAGGUGGCCAUUUUGGGAAAAUCUGGCCCCACCCGUCAGUCAGCCCCUGAGAAGCCCCAGAGCAAACAACAACUCAGGUGGGAUCACAGCCCCACCCAUCAGUAAACAGGUACCUAAAGACCCCUCAGGCACACAGCUGCCUGGAAUCCCAUCCAGAGACUAAGCCCCACCCACCAGAGGGAUUGGAAUCGGCUCCUCCUAUCAGGGGGCAGGCAUCAGCCCCUCCCAUCAGGAAGCCUACAGCAAGCCCCCAAUACUGACUUCAGCCAAAAGGGAGGCAGACACCAGAAGGAAGAGAGGCUACAACUCUAUUAUCUGUAAAAAGGUCACCACACCAAAAACCUAUAAAAAUGAGAACUAUAACUCAGAUGAGG